GACGAACGCUGGCGGCGUGCCUAAUACAUGCAAGUCGAACGCUUCUUUCCUCCCGAGUGCUUGCACUCAAUUGGAAAGAGGAGUGGCGGACGGGUGAGUAACACGUGGGUAACCUACCCAUCAGAGGGGGAUGACACUUGGAAACAGGUGCUAAUACCGCAUAACAGUUUAUGCCGCAUGGCAUAAGAGUGAAAGGCGCUUUCGGGUGUCGCUGAUGGAUGGACCCGCGGUGCAUUAGCUAGUUGGUGAGGUAACGGCUCACCAAGGCCACGAUGCAUAGCCGACCUGAGAGGGUGAUCGGCCACACUGGGACUGAGACACGGCCCAGACUCCUACGGGAGGCAGCAGUAGGGAAUCUUCGGCAAUGGACGAAAGUCUGACCGAGCAACGCCGCGUGAGUGAAGAAGGCUUUCGGAUCGUAAAACUCUGUUGUUAGAGAAGAACAAGGACGUUAGUAACUGAACGUCCCCUGACGGUAUCUAACCAGAAAGCCACGGCUAACUACGUG
rnacentral:rRNA from 1 species